rnacentral:rRNA from 1 species
GAUGAACGCUGGCGGCGUGCCUAAUACAUGCAAGUCGAGCGAACAGACGAGGAGCUUGCUCCUCUGACGUUAGCGGCGGACGGGUGAGUAACACGUGGAUAACCUACCUAUAAGACUGGGAUAACUUCGGGAAACCGGAGCUAAUACCGGAUAAUAUAUUGAACCGCAUGGUUCAAUAGUGAAAGACGGUUUUGCUGUCACUUAUAGAUGGAUCCGCGCCGCAUUAGCUAGUUGUUAAGGUAACGGCUUACCAAGGCAACGAUGCGUAGCCGACCUGAGAGGGUGAUCGGCCACACUGGAACUGAGACACGGUCCAGACUCCGACGGGGAGCAGCAGUAGGGAAUCUUCCGCAAUGGGCGAAAGCCUGACGGAGCAACGCCGCGUGAGUGAUGAAGGUCUUCGGAUCGGAAAACUCUGUUAUUAGGGAAGAACAAAUGUGUAAGUAACUAUGCACGUCUUGACGGUACCUAAUCAGAAAGCCACGGCUAACUACGUG